GGGCACUGUUCUACCGAGGAGGAUGUAUGCUUAGUGUUCAUACCUCCAUCGUUACAGUGCUAGAUGAGCCUCAGUUUGCAGAAGGGCUGUGUUGAAUAUUGGCAUCUCCCUUUCGAAGACUGAGAACAUGU